rnacentral:rRNA from 2 species
GCAGGUUGAAGGUUGGGUAACACUAACUGGAGGACCGAACCGACUAAUGUUGAAAAUUAGCGGAUGACCUGUGGCUGGGGGUGAAAGGCCAAUCAAACCGGGAGAUAGCUGGUUCUCCCCGAAAGCUAUUUAGGUAGCGCCUCGUGAACUCAUCUUCGGGGGUAGAGCACUGUUUCGGCUAGGGGGCCAUCCCGGCUUACCAACCCGAUGCAAACUACGAAUACCGAAGAAUGUUAUCACGGGAGACACACGGCGGGUGCUAACGUCCGUCGUGAAGAGGGAAACAACCCAGACCGCCAGCUAAGGUCCCAAAGUCAUGGUUAAGUGGGAAACGAUGUGGGAAGGCACAGACAGCCAGGAUGUUGGCUUAGAAGCAGCCAUCAUUUAAAGAAAGCGUAAUAGCUCACUGGUCGAGUCGGCCUGCGCGGAAGAUGUAACGGGGCUAAACCAUGCACCGAAGCUGCGGCAGCGACACUAUGUGUUGUUGGGUAGGGGAGCGUUCUGUAAGCCGUUGAAGGUGUGCUGUGAGGCAUGCUGGAGGUAUCAGAAGUGCGAAUGCUGACAUAAGUAACGAUAAAGCGGGUGAAAAGCCCGCUCGCCGGAAGACCAAGGGUUCCUGUCCAACGUUAAUCGGGGCAGGGUGAGUCGACCCCUAAGGCGAGGCCGAAAGGCGUAGUCGAUGGGAAACAGGUUAAUAUUCCUGUACUUGGUGUUACUGCGAAGGGGGGACGGAGAAGGCUAUGUCAGCCGGGCGACGGUUGUCCCGGUUUAAGCAUGUAGGCGGAGGUUCCAGGUAAAUCCGGUACCUUUUAACGCUGAGGUGUGAUGACGAGGCACUACGGUGCUGAAGUGAUAAAUGCCCUGCUUCCAGGAAAAGCCUCUAAGCAUCAGGUAACACGAAAUCGUACCCCAAACCGACACAGGUGGUCAGGUAGAGAAUACCAAGGCGCUUGAGAGAACUCGGGUGAAGGAACUAGGCAAAAUGGUGCCGUAACUUCGGGAGAAGGCACGCUGAUAGGUAGGUGAAGUCCCUGCGGACGGAGCUGAAAUCAGUCGAAGAUACCAGCUGGCUGCAACUGUUUAUUAAAAACACAGCACUGUGCAAACACGAAAGUGGACGUAUACGGUGUGACGCCUGCCCGGUGCCGGAAGGUUAAUUGAUGGGGUUAGCGGCAACGCGAAGCUCUUGAUCGAAGCCCCGGUAAACGGCGGCCGUAACUAUAACGGUCCUAAGGUAGCGAAAUUCCUUGUCGGGUAAGU